GAGAGGGGAAGACGCAAGCUAGUCUGAAGGGGUUGCGAAAACCCCAGCAAUGUGGAGAAGCCUAGGGCUUGCCCUGGCUCUCUGUCUCCUCCCCUAUGGAGGAGCAGAGAGCCAAGGCCAAAGCCCUGCUUGUAAGCAAGCUCCACCCUGGAACAUAGGAGAUCAAAAUCCAAUGCUAAACUCCGAGGGCACAGUGACAGUGGUUGCUCUUCUUCAAGCCAGCUGAUACCUGUGCCUUCUGCAGGCAUCCAGAUUGGAAGACCUGCGAAUAAAACUAGAGAACCAAGGAUAUUUUAACAUCUCCUAUAUUGUUGUUAAUCAUCAAGGAUCUCCUUCCCAAUUAAAACAUGCACAUCUUAAAAAGCAGGUGUCAGAUCACAUUGCUGUUUACAGACAAGAUGAACAUCAAACAGAUGUCUGGACACUCUUAAAUGGAAACAAAGAUGACUUCCUCAUAUAUGACAGAUGUGGCCGUCUUGUGUAUCACCUUGGUUUGCCCUACUCCUUCCUCACUUUCCCGUAUGUUGAAGAAGCCAUCAAGAUCGCUUACUGUGAGAAGAGGUGUGGAAACUGCUCUUUCACGGUAGGUAUUUUUCUCAAUUGCUUUUACUGGGGGAUAAGGAGAAAACUUUAAAAAAAAAUUCUACCUAAAUAAGUGGUUCACCAUCGAUUAUAAAAGGAAAAAUUUAAAUGCACAUUUUUUUUUGUUAGGUAACACACUUUAAAACAUAUUUUCAAGAUUUAUAUUGAUGCCUUUAUCUAGAAAGUCUCUCAAAGCAGACAAACUGGUGAGAUGGCUCAGUGGUUAAGGAUACCUGCAGCUUUGGCAGGAGAGCCCUCUUCAGUCCCCAUCACCCACACAGCAGCUUAGAGCCAUUCCAAUUCUAGUUCCAGGGGAUCCAGUAC
rnacentral:lncRNA from 1 species